GGACCCGCACAAGUAGUGGAGCAUGUGGUUUAAUUCGAAGAUACGCGCAGAACCUUACCAACACUUGACAUGUUCGUCGCGACUUUAAGAGAUUAAAGUUUUCGGUUCGGCCGGACGAAACACAGGUGCUGCAUGGCUGUCGUCAGCUCGUGUCGUGAGAUGUUGGGUUAAGUCCCGCAACGAGCGCAACCCUCACUUUUAGUUGCCAUCAUUUAGUUGGGCACUCUAGUAGGACUGCCUGUGAUAAGCUGGAGGAAGGUGGGGAUGACGUCAAGUCCUCAUGGCCCUUACGUGUUGGGCUACACACGUGCUACAAUGGUAUCUACAACAGGAAGCAAGACGGCGACGUUAAGCAAAUCCUUAAAAGAUACCUCAGUUCGGAUUGCACUCUGCAACUUGAGUGCAUGAAGCUGGAAUUACUAGUAAUCG
rnacentral:rRNA from 1 species